CAGUCGAACGACUCUGGUAUUGAUUGGUGCUUGCAUCAUGAUUUACAUUUGAGUGAGUGGCGAACUGGUGAGUAACACGUGGGAAACCUGCCCAGAAGCGGGGGAUAACACCUGGAAACAGAUGCUAAUACCGCAUAACAACUUGGACCGCAUGGUCCGAGUUUGAAAGAUGGCUUCGGCUAUCACUUUUGGAUGGUCCCGCGGCGUAUUAGCUAGAUGGUGGGGUAACGGCUCACCAUGGCAAUGAUACGUAGCCGACCUGAGAGGGUAAUCGGCCACAUUGGGACUGAGACACGGCCCAAACUCCUACGGGAGGCAGCAGUAGGGAAUCUUCCACAAUGGACGAAAGUCUGAUGGAGCAACGCCGCGUGAGUGAAGAAGGGUUUCGGCUCGUAAAACUCUGUUGUUAAAGAAGAACAUAUCUGAGAGUAACUGUUCAGGUAUUGACGGUAUUUAACCAGAAAGCCACGGCUAACUACGUGCCAGCAGCCGCGGUAAUACGUAGGUGGCAAGCGUUGUCCGGAUUUAUUGGGCGUAAAGCGAGCGCAGGCGGUUUUUUAAGUCUGAUGUGAAAGCCUUCGGCUCAACCGAAGAAGUGCAUCGGAAACUGGGAAACUUGAGUGCAGAAGAGGACAGUGGAACUCCAUGUGUAGCGGUGAAAUGCGUAGAUAUAUGGAAGAACACCAGUGGCGAAGGCGGCUGUCUGGUCUGUAACUGACGCUGAGGCUCGAAAGUAUGGGUAGCAAACAGGAUUAGAUACCCUGGUAGUCCAUACCGUAAACGAUGAAUGCUAAGUGUUGGAGGGUUUCCGCCCUUCAGUGCUGCAGCUAACGCAUUAAGCAUUCCGCCUGGGGAGUACGGCCGCAAGGCUGAAACUCAAAGGAAUUGACGGGGGCCCGCACAAGCGGUGGAGCAUGUGGUUUAAUUCGAAGCUACGCGAAGAACCUUACCAGGUCUUGACAUACUAUGCAAAUCUAAGAGAUUAGACGUUCCCUUCGGGGACAUGGAUACAGGUGGUGCAUGGUUGUCGUCAGCUCGUGUCGUGAGAUGUUGGGUUAAGUCCCGCAACGAGCGCAACCCUUAUUAUCAGUUGCCAGCAUUAAGUUGGGCACUCUGGUGAGACUGCCGGUGACAAACCGGAGGAAGGUGGGGAUGACGUCAAAUCAUCAUGCCCCUUAUGACCUGGGCUACACACGUGCUACAAUGGAUGGUACAACGAGUUGCGAACUCGCGAGAGUAAGCUAAUCUCUUAAAGCCAUUCUCAGUUCGGAUUGUAGGCUGCAACUCGCCUACAUGAAGUCGGAAUCGCUAGUAAUCGCGGAUCAGCAUGCCGCGGUGAAUACGUUCCCGGGCCUUGUACACACCGCCCGUCACACCAUGAGAGUUUGUAACACCCAAAGUCGGUGGG
rnacentral:rRNA from 2 species